rnacentral:rRNA from 1 species
GAUGAACGCUAGCGAUAGGCCUAACACAUGCAAGUCGAGGGGCAUCACAUGAAGUAGCAAUACGGAUGGUGGCGACCGGCGCACGGGUGAGUAACACGUAUGCAACCUGCCUUCAACAAGGGGAUAACCCGUUGAAAGACGGACUAAUACCCUAUAACACAGGGGUCCCGCAUGGGAAUAUUUGUUAAAGGACAACCGGUUGAAGAUGGGCAUGCGUUCCAUUAGCUAGUUGGCGGGGUAACGGCCCACCAAGGCAACGAUGGAUAGGGGAACUGAGAGGUUUAUCCCCCACACUGGUACUGAGACACGGACCAGACUCCUACGGGAGGCAGCAGUGAGGAAUAUUGGUCAAUGGACGCAAGUCUGAACCAGCCACGUCGCGUGAAGGAAGACGGCCCUACGGGUUGUAAACUUCUUUUAUACGGGAAUAAAGUGCCCCACGCGUGGGGUUUUGCAUGUACCGUAUGAAUAAGGAUCGGCUAACUCCGUGCCAGCAGCCCGCGGUAAGUACGCAGCGA